UGUCUGUGAAGAUGCGGACUACCUGCACCUGGACAGAAAGACACUAUGAAGCUUUACUAUUCUCUGGGAUUGGCUUUGGGCUUUUCGUGCGCAGCUUAGGUGGAAGGUGAAGAAGGCCCCCUUCCGGGGGACCCGAGCCAUCAGUGAGAUACCACUCUAGAAGAGCUCAGAUUCUAACUUUGGGUGGGUCAGACCCGCGGGCAAAGGGACAGUCUCAGGUAGACAAUUUCUAUGGGGUGUAGGCCUCCCAAAAGGUAACGAAGGCGUGCAAAGGUUUCCUCAGACCAGACGGACAUUGGUCUUCGAGUGCAAAGGCAGAAGUGAGCUUGAAUGCAAGACUCACCCGUCAAGCAGAGACGAAAAUCGGCUUUAGUGAUCCUACGGUGUCGAGUGGAAGGGUCGUCGCUCAACGGAUAAAAGUUACUCUAGGGAUAACAGGCUGAUCUUCCCCAAGAGUCCACAUCGACGGGAAGGUUUGGCACCUCGAUGUCGGCUCUUCGCCACCUAGAACUGUAGGUGGUUCAAAGGGUUGGGUUGUUCACCCAUUAAUGUGGUAUGUGAGCUAGGUUCAGAACGUCGUGAGACAAUUCAGUCCAUAUCCGGUGUGGGUGUUAGAGCAUUGAGAGGACAUUUUCCUAGUACGAGAGGACCGGGAAGUACGCACCUCUGGUGUACUAGUUAUUGUGCCUACUUUAAACGUUGGGUAGCCAAGUGUGGAGAGGAUAAAUGCUGAAAGCAUCUAAGUAGUAGGCCCACCCCAAGAUGAGUGCUCUCUCCUCCGACUUCCCUAGAGCCUCUGGUAGCACAGCCGAGACAGGGACAAGUUCUCCACCCAUACAGGGAUGGAGCGACAGAAGUAUGGAAAUAGGAUAAGGUAGCGGCGAGACGAGCCGUUUAAAUAGGUGUCAAGUGGAAGUGCAGUGAUGAAUGUAGCUGAGGCAUCCUAACGAACGAA
rnacentral:ncRNA from 1 species